rnacentral:rRNA from 1 species
AUUGAACGCUGGCGGCAGGCCUAACACAUGCAAGUCGAACGAGCGGCGGACGGGUGAGUAAUGUCUGGGAAACUGCCUGAUGGAGGGGGAUAACUACUGGAAACGGUAGCUAAUACCGCAUACCAUCGGAUGUGCCCAGAUGGGAUUAGCUAGUAGGUGGGGUAACGGCUCACCUAGGCGACGAUCCCUAGCUGGUCUGAGAGGAUGAGCAGCCACACUGUGACUGAGACACGGCCCAGACUCCUACGGGAGGCAGCAGUGGGGAAUAUUGCACAAUGGGCGCAAGCCUGAUGCAGCCAUGCCGCGUGUAUGAAGAAGGCCUUCGGGUUGUGAAGUACUUUCAGCGGGGAGGCGUUACCCGCAGAAGAAGCACCGGCUAACUCCGUGCCAGCAGCCGCGGUAAUAC